UUCCGGUUGAUCCCGCCGGACCCCACUGCUAUCGAGGUGGGACUAAGCCAUGCUAGUCGAACGAACAGAACUAUGUCUGUUAGUGGCAUACUGCUCAGUAACACGUAGCUAACCUACCCUUCGGACGUGGACAACCCCGAGAAAUUGGGGCUAAUACACGAUAGAUGUGAUGUCCUGGAAUGGUAUUACAUCUAAAAGUAUCCCAUACAUGUUUGGUAUACGCCUAAGGAUGGGGCUGCGGCUGAUCAGGCUGUUGGUGAGGUAAUGGCUCACCAAACCAUUGACCAGUACGGGCCAUGAGAGUGGUAGCCCGGAGAUGGACACUGAGACAAGGGUCCAGGCCCUACGGGGCGCAGCAGGCGCGAAACCUCCUCAAUGCACUAACGUGCGAAGGGGUUACCUCGAGUGCUACCUGAUGAAGGUGGCUUUUCCUUGGUCUAAAAAGCCUUGGGAAUAAGAGGGGGGCAAGACUGGUGUCAGCCGCCGCGGUAACACCAGCCCCUCGAGUGGUGGGGAUGAUUAUUUGGCCUAAAGCGUCCGUAGCCGGCCGUGAAAGUCUUCCGUUAAAUCCAGCGUCUCAAGCGUUGGACCGCGGGAGAUACUACAUGGCUAGAGAGUGGGAGAGGUCAGCGGUAUUCUGGGGGUAGGGGCGAAAUCCUUUGAUCCCCGGAGGACCACCAGUGGCGAAGGCUGCAUACUAGAACACGCCUGACGGUCAGGGACGAAAGCUGGGGUAGCGAACCGGAUUAGAUAC
rnacentral:rRNA from 1 species